rnacentral:lncRNA from 1 species
GCAAACUCCAGAUGUGCAGACGUGCAUGGAUACAUUCUCUUCAUAAAGAGUCUUCAAGAUGGUUCCUCUGCCCUGAUUAGACAUGUACCAAAGUGCCUGAACUCUGGUGUGGAUUGGACACACCACACAAAGAGGCUGGAGAGCUGUGAAUUGUGAGUUGUUGCAGGUCUCAGUGAGGGCAGCACUGCCAUCACUUGAAAACCUUCUCCUGCUUGGGGUGACAUGAAAUCCCCAGCAGUCUGGGUCAUCUACAACAGGUUUGUCUUUCCAUAGCUGUUAUGUUUCUUUAAUAAAGGAUUUGAAAAAAAACA